rnacentral:misc_RNA from 1 species
AACAAGGCGUACCUGCGGACCUGCGGAAGGAUCAUUACCGAGUUUACAACUCCCAAACCCCUGUGAACAUACCUAUAUGUUGCCUCGGCGGAUCAGCCCGCGCCCCGUAAAACGGGACGGCCCGCCGCAGGAUCCACAAACUCUGUUUUUAUUGUAACUUCUGAGUAACAAAACAAAUAAAUCAAAACUUUCAGCAACGGAUCU